rnacentral:lncRNA from 1 species
UGUGAUUUGAGAAUAAUGCAUUGAGUGAGAAAGAGUUAGCAUGGCAUAUGGGUGCAGUGUCUAUAGGUUUGAGAUUAGGAAUAUAAUGAAUGUAGUCCUUCAAAUGUACUGGUGUCUUAGGUUCUCUAAGUGAUUUUCUAGGGCCAACAUGUGAUGUAAGUGGUACAGAACUGUUAGGAACAGAAUCAUUCUGUGUGUGAAAAUACAGGUCCAUUGGUGGUGUAGGAUUGUUGGUAGUAGAGUUGUUUUGUGUGUGAAAAUAGGAGUCCAUUGGUGGGGAGCUACUGUGUGUAGGGAGCUGGUCAUGUGAAGUAGUGGCAGGAGAAGAUUCCAAGGGUCCUGUAGGCUGUGUGACACUUGACCUGUGCUGACUAGUGUGUUGUUUUGGCUCAACUUCUAAAUGGUCAAUAAAGGGAAUGAAAUUGAGGACUGAUGGGAAGGAAGUGGUGUUAUCAUGCAUAGCAAAAGGGAAAAUAUAUUCAUUGAAAGCGACAUCUCUGGAGAUAUGUAUCUUUUUGGUGGCUAAAUUCAAGACCUUGUAUCCUUUUGUGUUAAAGGGGUAACCAACAAAAACAUGAGGGGUAGUUCUUGGCUCAAACUUGUCUCUGUGAGGUUUAGGAACUGUAGGAUAGCACAAACAUCCAAAACUUCUCAUUUGUGAGUACUUAGGCUUCCUUUUGUAUAGAAGUUCAUAAGGGCAUCUAUUGUUUAGGCUGCUAGAAGGUAGUCUGUUUAUAAUGUAAGUUGCACAAAUAAUACACUCGCCCCAGUAUCUGGUUGGUAAUUUUGACUGGAACAAAAGAGCUCUAGCAGUUUCUAGUAGGUAUUUGUGCUUUCUUUCUACUAUACCAUUUUGCUGGGGUGUGUAGGGACAAGUCCUUUGGUGUACUAUGCCCUUGGAUUGGAAAAAGAGAUUGGCUUUUGUAUUGGUGAACUCCAGCCCAUUGUCUGAUCUAAUGAUUUUGAUUCUAAUGUUGAAUUGGUUUUCUAUUAAGAUUACAAAAGCCUUAAUAGUUUGAAGGGCAUUACUGUUGCAUGACAGAAGUUGAGUCCAGGUUGAUCUACUGUAGUCAUCUACUAUGGUAAUGAAGUACCUAUAGUUGUCGUGUGUGGUAACAUGGUAAGGUCCCCACAAGUCAACAUAUAACAAUUCAAACACUUUGGUGGUAAUACUGGUCUUUUGAGGAAAGGGAAGUCUUUCUUGUCUGGCCAUGGGACAAAUGGAGCAAAGGAAGGGCUGUUUGGAUGAGAAGCUUGCAGGUAUUGAAACAAUGUUUUUCAUCUUAACAAAAGGCACAUGCUCAAGUCUAUUAUACCACAGGACAUUCACAUCAUUUCUAACAAGUUCAAGAGAGUUCAGAGAAAAAGACUGUCAUUUAUUGCUUGCAGAUGAGUUAUUUACAAGUGAAAGAGGAACACACUUAUUUGUGAGUGAUGGCUUAUUUACAUUGCUGUGAAGGUGACACUGUGUGUUGCAAGCACAACAACAAGCUGACAAAAAGGGAACUUUGACUGUAGGACCAUACUGUUUGUUCUGCAGACAUCUUUGACAUAGGAAGUAUAAGCCAUCCAUGGCUUUACCAAUCACCAGAGGCCUCUUCAUUGAAGGGGCCUGCAGCAGACAUGAAUUGUUAGAGAAGGCAACUAGACGUUCAUGUUUUGUUAGAGAAUGAACAGAGAUUAAAUUGUACUUGAAAGAGGGUAUAAACAACACUUUUUCCAGGAUGAUAUCAGGUAUGAGUGUCACACUACCAAUUUGUGUUACCCUUACUUUAUAUCCAUUUGGAAGAAUGACAAGGAGAGGAUAUGGCAAGGUUAUAAUUUUGGUCAAUAAGGAUUUGUUGAAGGUCAUGUGAUUUGAGGCUCCAGAAUCCAAUAUCCAUGAGUCAGCUCUAUUUUUGAAACAAUUACAUGACAGUUUACUAAAAUCAAUUGAGGAUGUACAUGCAACAAUACCUGCAAAGUUGGCAGUUACACAGGCUGAAUUCACAUUGCUGGUACUUUCUCCUCCAUUUCCUAUCUGAAAAUGUUGUAGUAGGCUCAUGAUCUGCCCAUACUGUUCUUGAAUCAGGUUGACAUUUUGAUUGUCCUUUUGUACAUCAAACUCAUCAUGUGAUGGCAUAUCUAAUUGAGGUCCAUGUACAUUAGCAACUAUCCUGUUUGUUCUAUUGAAACCACUACACUACUAGGUUUGAAAUUCUGAUUUGAAGUGUGCUGACUAUAGCUAUUGUUACUCUUGAAGUUUUGUCCAUAACUUUGAGGGUAUCCAUGCAGUUUGUAGUACUUAUCCUUAGUGUGUCCCGACCUCUUACAAUACUCACACAUUGGUCUUGACUUGUUUGUACCAUUGUAGUUAUUGCUAAGAGAGUAAUUUGUUCUAUAAUUGUUCUGCUUGAAAGUGUUCGCAUUCAGAGAAGUUGAUUCUAAGGCAAACUGAUUAUUAGGUCUAAUUUUCCUCUGUUUGUCUUCUUGAACCAACAGUGAAAAAGCUUGUGCCAUUGAAUAUCAUCAAGAUGCUGCCUCGCACCACAAUGUAGACCUCAUUAAGUCCCAUGAGAAAGUGUAUUAAUCGCCUAUCUUGUUCUGCCUUGUGCAUACUCUCUUUUGCUCCACACGUGCAAUGACAAGUGCAUUGAUUCUUAGCACUUAGGUUACUCGGUUCUUCCCAUAAUUUCUUCAUCUUAGUAUAGUACCCUGUGAUGUCAAGAGAUCCUUGGGAAAGAUCAUUAAUAUCCUUCUGAAUUUGAUACAGCUUUGUACCAUUGGUCUGAUCAUAUCGAUCUUCCAAUUCUUUCCACAAUUAUGUUGCAUCAUUCACAUAUUCCACGCUAUCUGCAUUUUCCUUAGAUAAUGAAUUCAGAAUCCACGAUGUUACCAUAUAAUCACAUCUCUCCCACAAUCGAAGUUUUUGAGAAUCUGGAUCUGGCUUCUUACAUUCUCCAUUGAUAAAACCUACCUUGUUCUUCACAGAAAGUGCACACACCACACUUCUCCUCCAUGAUCUGUAUCCAACACCAUUAAAAGGAACUGAUACUAACAUUGCACCGGGAUUGUCUGAGGGGUGCAUGUACAAAGGACUACUCAGAUCCACACUGGAUUGACCAUUCCCAGUUGGUAAAUCAGCCUCUAAAUCAUUAGAUCGUUCGUUUUCAUCUAAAAUCGCCAUAACUGACUCGAUUGAGCUAAGUAUUGAAAAACAAAACUAUCAAUUCUGCAAUUGAGAUUUGUAGUCGAAGAAAAAUAGUGAAUCGUUCGAAUGAAUUCCAAAAUGACUCGAAUUUAGGUUUGCAUGUGACAAAAAAACAAAUAGGAUCAGUGAAUUGAUCGAUCAAAUACAGAAUUACACUUACCGGAGAAAAGAUUCCCACCGGCUCUGAUACCAUAACAAUUUCGAGUGUUCUGCUGUGAAUGAGCUUGAACUAAGCUUCAAUGGAGAUUCCAUAGAAUGUUCUCGAAACUCAGAAGCAAUGAUAUUGAGAGGAAAAAGAGAAAUAUUGAAGCAAGAAUCUCAAAUUUCAUUCUGUAAAAUGAGAACUUAUAUACAAGAAGUUUUAACAAGAAAAUAACAACCACUAACUAACCUCCGGCUAGUAUAACUAACUGCCAGCUGACAACUAACUGACUUAACACACUAACAUCUAAUAAUUAAUAAUUUUUGCAUCUUAACAGGAACACGGUAUGGGUGUACUUUAUUUCUGAUAGGUUUAGUGUUUCUCGAUUCUUUCUUUGAUUUUUGCAUUUGUGUCUUGGUAAUGAGAAUUUGAUGGAUAUUUGUUAUUUUUUCUAUUCUCUUGGAUAGGCUCUUGCUGGAUUUUAUACAUGCAUGCCAUUGUUAUUUCUAUUUCCACAUGUAUGUUUGGAAAUAGAUAUGUAGGUGCAUGCUUGAGAUACAUAAUUGUUUCUAAUUUUAGUUGAGUGAGAUGGUACUUUGAACUGGAGCCAAAGUUCCGUUCUUGGAGCAGUGUUAUUGGACUUUACCAUUUGCUCUCUUGACAUGAUUAUUCUUCUUCUAUAUUUUUUAUGUAGUACUUGUGCUCAUUGCAGUUCUCCAUUUAGCAAGAUUGAAGUGAAAUACUUUCGGAGUGUUUUAGAGAAAAUAUUGAAGAAAAGCAGUUCCGCAACCAGGUUUGUUUUUAUUUCCUAUCGAUUUGUUUUUUUCAGGGUCAUUGCAUCGAUAUUUUUGUUUACCUUUUUCGUGGCUUUUACUCUUCCUCUUCCAGUAAGGUUAUCCAUUUGUUGUAUACCUUUUAAGUUUAAAAGAUUGAGCUUUCAGGUUGCUUACAUUUCCCAUGCAUGACAACUAAUUUGUAUAGAGGAUUCAUGACAAUCAUGAAUUAGCAGGUGCUUCAGCAUGUUUAUGGAAUUCUAUUACACUGCCAAAACGUAAGCAAAUGUUUCUGAACGCUCAAAAUUAAUUUAGAAAAUAGUUCUUUUGAAAGAAAAUGGAAGAUAUUUCUUUUAGUACUUUUUUUGUUUUGUUCUUUUAGCACAAAACAUGCUGUAAACAGAAAUUAUCUUUUUCCUUAUCGCAACAAUGAUAUUUCCUUGGUAGAGACCAUUCUCAUGGCAAUGUAGCAUGUAUCAACUGGAACACAUUUCUCAAUCCAUAGCCAGUAGAAAUAGACAAAGGAGUGUGGAAAUGGUAAUUCAAGCGUUCAUCUAAGGUAUUGGUACUUCUUUUAAAAGAAAAUCUAUAUAUUAAGCUCAUAAUAUAUAGGAGUAUAAUUUUUCUCGGGGUAGCUUAUAGCCUAUUGUUCACUUUUAAGACUUUCCUUCAAGACCUCUAACUUUAGACUGUGAACAUCGUCAAAUCUUAGCCUUCUUGGGUUCAAAUUUUCGAGCUAAUGUAAUUUUUUAAAUAUAUAUGCCAACACAAUUUAAGUUUUAUUUUCAUCCUUUUUGAUUUACACUGAAGUAGUUAUGUCUAUAUAUAUCUUGAGACUGAAUACAAAAGACACUAAGAAAUUCUUGAGACAUUGCAAAACAGAAUGACUUAAUCGUUCAAUGGCUUGACUAUAUCCUUUCGUAGAGUGGAAAAGGUGAAUUUACUCUUUUUCAUCAAAUGAAUUGUUCCUAAGGCAAAACCAAGUGAAGUUACUUUCAAUAUGAUGUUUGAAAACAUUGAUGAGAAGUAUAUUUUUUGGCAUUUGAAUGUGUUUGUCAGUUGCCUUUUUUUACUUCAUAUUUGUUAUGAACUUGCUGAUGUGCUCAAAUAUUCCAUCCAUCAUUUUUGUUAUUAUUUAUUCUAUUGGAUUAGCUUAAGAGAUAAGUUUAUUUUUAUGAUACUUCCAGUUUUUUUUUUUGCUUGAAAAUGUGACGUUAUCUUCUUUGAGAAAUUACUUUCACAUCACAAUAGUGAGCUGUGAGCAGUAUCCCUUUAUUGGGAUGGAGAAGGGAAAAGGCCAGUGCAAUACCCUGCUUCCUAUUGAGGCUUUGACUGCACAAUUACACUCUGUAGUGGAAAGGAGGCAAAUAUUAUUCAAACUUAAACCUUUGUAGUGGAAGGAAAAUAGUAACUUUGUACAACUGCUGCUCUGGAUAGUUUAUCCUUUUGUACGAGUGAUGAACUAAAAACAUUCUGUUAUCUUUCAACUAUACACUUUUUUGUGUAUAAACUAUCAUGGC